AUGGCGCCUCCCGCCGCCGGCGACACCCCACCUCCUCCUCCGGCCAGCACCGAGGAGGAGUCGCGGUGGCUCGCGGCCCUCUCCGAGCCCGAGCUCGAUCUCCUCAUCGGCCUGAAGAUGCUGGCCGUGAAGCGGGCGGAGACAGCCGGCCGCCCCCACCUCGCCGACGCCUUCGAUCUGCGCACCCUCCGGGCCCUCGGUGUAGUUUUGCUGGAAGAUUUCAAACAGCGGCUAAGAGAAGAAACCUCACUCGAUGUAACCGGUCUUGAUAGACUUGCACUAUCAAGGGAUCCUGUUAUGGAUGCUAGUGUCGGUACUAGUAGCAGUGAUUCCGAGGUGUUCAGGCGGCGCAAGCAAAGAUCAGCCAAUAAAGCCAAGCGGUGUCAAGAGGAAACGAAAGCAGAUGCAAGAUGGGCGUCAUGGAGAGGCUGA
rnacentral:rRNA from 1 species